rnacentral:rRNA from 1 species
AUUGAACGCUGGCGGCAUGCCUUACACAUGCAAGUCGAACGGCAGCACGGGAGCAAUCCUGGUGGCGAGUGGCGAACGGGUGAGUAAAGUAUCGGAACGUGCCCAGUCGUGGGGGAUAACGUAGCGAAAGUUACGCUAAUACCGCAUACGAUCUAUGGAUGAAAGCGGGGGAUCGCAAGACCUCGCGCGAUUGGAGCGGCCGAUAUCAGAUUAGGUAGUUGGAGGGGUAAAGGCUCACCAAGCCGACGAUCUGCAGCUGGUCUGAGAGGACGACCAGCCACACUGGGACUGGGACACGGCCCAGACUCCUACGGGAGGCAGCAGUGGGGAAUUUUGGACAAUGGGCGAAAGCCUGAUCCAGCCAUGCCGCGUGCAGGAUGAAGGCCUUCGGGUUGUAAACUGCUUUUGUACGGAACGAAAAGGUUUGGGCUAAUAAGCUGAGCUCAUGACGGUACCGUAAGAAUAAGCACCGGCUAACUACGUGCCAGCAGCCGCCGUAA